ACUGGCGCCCGGUGAAGGGGAGAGCAUGGAGGUCACAACACUGCGUCAUACACAACACAUGAGCCUGACAAGAAUAGUAUUGUGAUUUAUAUCAAUAAAACUCCAAAUGUUAUGCGGAGCGAACCACUUGACUAUACAAGCCUCAAGCCGAGUGGAAACAUCUAGGAGUGGAGUCUCUUGCAAUGUCUUCACGCUUCUCACCAUCUUAUCCAGAGUGACAAGAAAAUGAAUCGCUCGUUAGACGCAGUGGUUUCUCCAAUGUCAUACCCUCGAUGUGGUUUUACCGAGUCUAAAUGCGACUUGAUAAAUACAGAACAUACCAGAGAUAACAAGACGCCGCGGAUGAAAGCUGAGAAAAGAAUGAAGCCAAAAAGAUACUAGGAUUUUUUUCUUCUUUGCACUGUGGUCGAAUGGAAUAAAUUAAGGAGAAUGUAGCAAGUGUU